AAAAGUUAAUCCCCAAGUCAGAUUAUAUCAAACAGGAGGUUAGGAUUUCCAAACCAAAUUUCUGGGAUGUACUUGGACGAAAUUUAGAGUUCUAAUUUCAGUGAAAUUCCACUCCCCACGUGAUUACCCUACACCGUGGUUUAGUAUAAAUAUAGCACUAAACCUCAAGCAUUCAGUCUUUAAUUCCUCAUUCUUCUUCUACAAGUCUUUAUUCUCUCCUCCUCUUUAAAAAUAUUUCUCCAUAUUAUUAAGGCUUUUUAAGGCUUUGGAAUUUCAAUAAAGAAUCACGUUUUCAGAAAUUUUGUUUUCCACGUUCAUCUUCAAAAGGUAGAAAUUAGUAUGCUGGACGGCGGUGGAUGGAUGCAUAUUGGACCAAUGGAUCUCCAUCAUGAAGUACUUUAAUUUUUAGAAACACUAGAAUAUUUAUUAACAUUUGAUUAUUAUUAUUUUUAAAUUUAGACUCAAUUGUGAGCCACGUCGUAACUUUCAAUUAGUCCUAUUUUUAUUAUUUGUUAGAACUACUUUUAUUAAUGUUUGAUAAAAGAUAUGAUUCCAAAUUGUUCCGCAUAUGUUAUUUAAUUUAAUUUACCUUUUGUUAAGGUUGUUCAAUUUUUACUGAA